UACAUGUGGGGCAAGCGUUGUUCGGAAUUACUGGGCAUAAAGGGUGCGUAGGCGGUUUGUUAGGUCACUGGUGAAAGUUUCGGCCCAACCGGAAAAUUGCCUGUGAUACCGGCGAACUUGAGUGCGUGAGGGGUGGGGGAACGAGCAGUGUAGCGGUGAAAUGCGUAGAGUAUUGACUCGGAAGGCCGGAGCCGAAGGGCCCACUGGUACGUAACUGACGCUGAGACGACGAAAGCGUGGGUAGCAAACAGGG
rnacentral:rRNA from 1 species